GGACAAGAAGUGAAUCCAUACUUCCCUUUUUGGAGCCUGUUUUGGCUGUUUGUGGCAGUGUUACAGAAACACCUGUGCUUCAGGAAUGCUGUCAGGUAUAGGAAAUAAUUGACAAUGAUCCCCAGGCUUGUAUUCACCAACAGACCAGCAAGCAAACAACAGGGAUUUUGUGUUUGAGUGAUCUGCAUUUCACAUACAGCCUGUAUGUUCAUGUCGCCAUACCAUGGAGAGCAAAUAGUAGGAG
rnacentral:lncRNA from 1 species